rnacentral:rRNA from 1 species
AAUAUUGCACAAUGGGGGAAACCCUGAUGCAGCGACGCCGCGUGAGCGAAGAAGGCCUUCGGGUCGUAAAGCUCUGUCCUAGGGGAAGAAACGGACGGUACCUUAGGAGGAAGCCCCGGCUAACUACGUGCCAGCAGCCGCGGUAAUACGUAGGGUGCAAGCGUUGUCCGGAAUUACUGGGCGUAAAGGGUGCGUAGGCGGCCUAAUAAGUCAGAUGUGAAAUACCGAGGCUCAACCUCGGAGGUGCAUUUGAAACUGUUGGGCUUGAGUGCAGGAGAGGAAAGUGGAAUUCCUAGUGUAGCGGUGAAAUGCGUAGAGAUUAGGAGGAACACCAGUGGCGAAGGCGACUUUCUGGACUGUAACUGACGCUGAGGCACGAAAGCGUGGGGAGCAAACA